CCGUGGUCAAUACCCACUGCGCCUGAAGGUACCUCCAAAGGAAGCUCCGGCUAACUCCGUGCCAGCAGCCGCGGUAAUACGGAGGGAGCGAACGUUGUUCGGAUUUACUGGGUGUAAAGGGUGCGUAGGCGGCUACGUGUGUCAGAGGUGAAAGCUCACGGCUCAACCGUGGAAUUGCCUUUGAAACUGCGUAGCUUGAGUCCGAGAGAGGAUGAUGGAAUUCCUGGUGUAACGGUGAAAUGUGCAGGAUAUCAGGAAGAACACCGGUGGCGAAGGCGGUCAUCUGGCUCGGUACUGACGCUGAGGCACGAAAGCUAGGGUAUCAAACGGGAUUAGAUACCCCGGUAGUCCUAGCCGUAAACGAUGUCCACUAGGUGUCGGAGGUUCUACCCCUUCGGUGCCGCAGCUAACGCAUUAAGUGGACCACCUGGGGAGUACGCUCGCAAGGGUGAAACUCAAAGGAAUUGACGGGGGCCCGCACAAGCGGUGGAGCAUGUGGUUUAAUUCGAUGCAACGCGAAGAACCUUACCUGGGCUUGACAUGCAGGGGACAGGUGUAGAGAUACACCCUUCUUCGGACUCCUGUACAGGUGCUGCAUGGCUGUCGUCAGCUCGUGUCGUGAAAUGUUGGGUUAAGUCCCGCAACGAGCGCAACCCUUGUCCUUAGUUGCCAGCACGUCAUGGUGGGAACUCUAGGGAGACUGCCGGUGACAAACCGGAGGAAGGUGGGGACGACGUCAAGUCAUCAUGGCCCUUACGUCCAGGGCUACACACGUGCUACAAUGGCACAUACAGAGGGCCGCGAACCCGCGAGGGGGAGCCAAUCCCAAAAAGUGUGCCUCAGUUCGGAUCGCAGUCUGCAACUCGACUGCGU
rnacentral:rRNA from 1 species